AACACUUGGAGUGUGAAACACUUACUCCUGGUUUGGAUGAUGGUUUAUCAUAGUUUCAUAUUGUAUGGUAUGGUAUACUUCUUGUUUGUUUAUAUUGUUCCUAAAGAAUGGUGGUAACCAUUAUUUUAUCACAGUUUUUCAAACCACCAAAUUGUGGUUUGAGAUAGUUUUAAAUUUUUAUAUUCUCUUUUUAUACAAUAAUCAUUUAUAUAUUUAAAACAAUAAU
rnacentral:misc_RNA from 1 species